AAGAUAACAUUUGAAAUCAAAUAAUUGUAGAAUCAUCUCUGACCAGACUGAAUAUGAAAAGAGAGAACAGACAAAUCUAAAAAGGCUUGUUUUGAUUGUUGAGAUCACUUAAACUCCAUCUGUAUACAAAAUUGUGAACUUUAAUUACUGUUCGGUAGAAGAAAACUAGGAAAGUCAAAAAGGCUAAUUAAAAUUUACAUAAGUACAAUAUAAGAUAAAUGAGUAAAACCACAAAACACAUAUUUUCUCCACUCAACUGGGGUUGCUACUGGUCAAGAUUGAAAGAAUUCUUUUUAAAGUCACGCAUUUAUUUGCCUGAUACUUUGCCACUGUCUGGCACCAAAAGAAUAUAAUUCGAAGUGAAAAUUGUGUCUGUCAUUCAGAGUUUUUGACUACACAAGACUAAACAUCUGCAUAUUUGGAUGAAUGCCUGGCUUUCUAAUUCACUAACUGAGAGGAGAUGCACCAUUAGUUGUUAUCCUGAGCAUCAAGAAGGUUAAUUCAUUAUGCAUAUCAGAUAUCAGUGUACUUCUUUGGGGUACAUUUAUCUUAUCAUCUAAGAUUAUGUUGAUUUUAUUUAGAUCAUAUCCAAAUAAAGGAUAAUUAAACUGCUAUGUGACAGGAAAUAAUCCACUGUUAGGGAAUUCUGCAAAUAUAAAAUUAACUCCCAGGAUGACCUUCAGGGUACAGGAGAAAAGAAGAAAGGAGCAAGAACGUGAGGCCAGUAUCAAUCCUCUCUUAGUAAAUAGCAUUGUGAGUUCUGUCAAGUAAUUUAAAAUGGGGUCCUCAAACCCUGGACCAGGGACUGCUACUGAUCCAUGGACUGUUAGGAACUGGGCCCCACAGCAGAAGGUGAGCUGUGGGCAAGAAAGCGACACUUCAUCUGUUAUUUACAAGCACUCCCCAUCACUCACAUUAACCAGCUGAUCUCCACCUCCUGUCAAAAUAGGGGGUGAGGAAUCAGAUUCCAAUAGGCGCACAAACUCUAUUGUGAACUGCACAUGUGAGUGAUCCAGGUUGCUGCUCCUUAUGAGAAUCUAAUGCCUGACGAUCUGUCACUGUCUCUCAUCAUCCCCAGAUGGGACUGUCUAGUUGCAGGAAAUCAAGCUUAGGGCUCUGACUGAUUCUAUAUUAUGUUGAGUUGCAUAAUUAUUUCAUUACAUAUUACAAUAUAAUGAUAAUAAAGUACACAAUAAAUGUAAUGUAUUCGAAUCAUUGCAACCCGCCAUCCCGGGAAAACUGUCUUCCAAGAAACCGGUCCCUGGGCCAAAAAUGUUGGGACUGAUUAUCUAAAGCCCUGUGCCUCAGUUUCCUCAUCUACAAAAUAGAAUUUAAAAUUCCUAAUUUACAUAUUUCUACAUAUGAUUAUAAGUUUAAUGAUUAAUUAGUGGUUAAGAGUGUAAGCUCUGAAAUUAAAUAUGCCUGAUUUGAAAUCUAAUUAUCACUAACUUUAUAAAUUAGGCAUGCUUCAGUUUCCUCACCUCAAAUUGUUACAAAGUUUCUAAGUACUAAGUAAAUAUGCAUCCUGAAUGCUUAGCACAGUGUCUGGCACUCUGUAAGCAACCAAGAAAUAUGUGUUUUGGAAAAUCAAAGAAACAUGUUCCAAGUAACUUGGAAAAUGUAGAGAGCCAUAGACUCUACUAUUUCUCACGUUUGAGAUGCCAGAACGUAUAAGCCACACCCUAUUUUCUAAACUCUCAGAGUUAAAAUGAACAAAAAUUCAUUAACGCAGGCAUGAACAAAAACUAUAUGUAUAUUCUUUUCUUUCUUUACUUGUAUGGCUUUUUUUUCUUUCUUAAAUUAUUUUAACACCUUUCCAGAGAUAACCUAGAAAUCCCUAGAAAUCAACCCAGACUUCUAUACCAAAGGGAUCAAACUGGAGGCCAAAUUUAACCUGGAAAUAUGCUUCCUAUAUUUCAAAGUGCUUAAAAGCAUUACCCUAAAAUAGAACAUUUGGAGUUUUCCAAUAAUUUUUUUUUUCCUGGCUUCACUUUAAACAAUUAGAAAAUCUGGUAGCCUUCAGCACACGUACUCAUAUGAACAAAGCUGCUGAAAUAUAAGAACAAAUUCUUUUAAUAGAGAUUUGCAAACUCUUCAUUUCUCACAGUCCUCACCUGUUAUAAUUUUUCUGAUACCAUGACUCAUACCAGUCAUUGUUUAUUAUCAUAUAUACCCAAUUAUUUUUCUUAUAGCAAAGAAACUGUUGUCUGUACCCAUGUAUCUAUCUAAAGCUGGAAUAAGAAAGUUCAAUCUUUAGGCUACAAGUUUCUAAAAAAAACAAAAAGGGUGACAAAAAUUUUUUUAUAUUUUAAGACUGUUGAGACCCAUUUCUUAAUCUUUUUACUGAAGUCUGACAUACAUACAGAAGACGACAUAGAUCAUAAGUUCAAUGACUAUUCAUAAAUUAAACCUAUUUAUGUAUAAUCAGCACCCAGGUCAAGAAACAAAACAUUACCAGCCCCUAGAAGCCUGCUUUUUUGCCUCCUUCCAUUCACUGUUCCCACAAGAAGAAUACACUUGUAUAGCAAGCUAAUAUGUAUAGUCACCUAAAUGCUGAAAAUCUAUUUAGUGUAGCAUAGAUUUGUUUUGUCUGUUUGAACUUUAUGAAAAUGGAAUCACACAGAAUGUACUCUUGUAUUACUGACUCCUUUUGCUUAACAUCUUGUUCAUUAGAUUAAUUCAUGUUGUCAUAUGUAGUUACAAUUUUAUUGAUGCAUUUGUAAGAUACAAAGCUUGCUAUGUCCUCCUUAACUUAUAUGACCUGCUAGUCCCUAUUAGCCAUGAAGUUUUACCCCAAUCUAAAUGUACAUUUUUCUUUAAGAAGCAUUUCCCCUACAAUUCUCCUGAUACCUCAACAUCCCUUGGCCUUUCUACAACAAUUUGACUCCCUGGCCAGUGAUUUAAAUUUUCAAAGGGUCUUCCUUGCUCAAGCAGUGACAAAGUUAUGCAGUCACCUACGACUUGAUAUUCUUUCCUGUCACUAAACUACUUGCCCUCCAAGUUCCCCUUCUUUUCAAAUAUACCUGAAUUAUCUUUAAUUGCCAAAAAGGGAAGUGAUUUUUUUUGUUCCUGCUUUCUAUGUUGCUGCUUUGUCUGUUCUUGAUGAAGAGGAAGUAGUAUUCAAAUAUCACAGCUUCUUUGUGCAACAGCCUAGAAUCAGUGCUUUGACUUUAGGCUCUACUGGGAACUACACUGCUAGUUCUCAUGGUUUGGGGUUCUUCAGACUUGAAUUGGAAAUAUACCACCAGUUCUCCUGGGUCUCCAACUUGCCAAAUGAAGAGCAUGGGACUUCUCAGCCUCAUCAUCAUGGAGAAAAAUAAAGCUGAAGUUUGAGCUUCCCACUCACCAUCAACAAAAUUAUCAGCAUUUUCCAUCAACUAUGUGCCAUGAAUCCUUCCCUCUCUGCUAGACUUUUCCCCCAAGCAUUUUAAGGUAUUCAACUCUCUAAUUUUAUUCAUAAAAUCAAAAACAAAGUUAAAUCUUCUCAAAGUCCGCUUCUGCCUGCUGUCUAGUUCCUCUCCUUUCCUCCUCAGGCAAGUGGCUUUAAAAAGUAGUGCUCACUUCCCAUUUAAUCCUGAAUUUGCUGUACUCAGACUUUGCUUCCAGCCUCCACAUAAACUGUUCUUGGCAAAUGAUCUCAGCAUCACCUGUGAUCCCUCCUUCACCUCAUUCAGACCUCAGCUGGAAUGUGACUUCUCCACAGAGCCCUCCCCCAUGUCCCUCUAUGUUCACUUUUCCUGCUCUACUUUUCCUCAAAGUACCCAUCCUUCCCUAAAUUUGUAUGACUUGGUAAUUUGUUCAAGUCUGGCUCCCCACCAGAAUAUGCACCCACAAAAGCAAGGACUUUGCCUUUCGCCUCUCUUUAUUCCACCCAAGGUAUAGACAUCAGCAGACACUAAACAAACAUGUGUUGAAUUAUUUUUACUAAACCCAAUCAAAACUUUACGAUUUUGACUUACUUUGCUACAAAUUGAUAACCUGCUUCUUUUUAAACAUGCUUCUCUCAUAAUUUCAGUGAUGAUUGUUCUUUAAUGCCUUUCUUCCUUUAUUUUUGUUUCAUCCUUCCCAUCCUAAUGCAAGGAGGUUUCUUUUUUAACAUCCCUAAGGAAUGGUUUGGUCUUUGGUGCUCUUUGUUAGUCACUGUCUCCAACUCCUUCCUGCAGUCUUACUUGCUUCCAUGGCUUCAGUUAUUAUGUACACAUUCUAUGACAAUUUUAUUUAUUUAUUAAAAUGUGGGUUUUUUUACAUCUCUACCACAGAACUCUCUCUUUAAUUCCACAAGAAUGUCUUAGAUGGGCUACUGAUGCCUCCCCAUGGAAACAUAUGAAACUAAAGAAACACAUUUGCUCUCCUCUUUGUUUCCUGGGUAUUCCCUAAACCUUUAAUUUAUAUUUAUUAAUUCAUCGAGCUACCCACUCCCUUAAUCCUGCCUGACCUUCAAGCAUUAUGUGUUUUCAAUUCUGCCUCCUCAGUAGCUCACACAUGCAGUCACUUUUUCUUUAUUUUUGCUGAACUAGUGUUACUUCGAGCUCUAAUGUUUUUUUUCCUAGAUUCAUGACACAGACUUCUACUUUGUCUCCUUGCCUAUCAUAAUGCCUGAAACCCUAAUUAAUCUGCUCUUUUGGUUAUUACAAUGACAAUUUAGAAA